rnacentral:rRNA from 1 species
AAGACCCCGUGAACCUUUACUAUAGCUUGACACUGAACAUUGAGCCUUGAUGUGUAGGAUAGGUGGGAGGCUUUGAAGUGUGGACGCCAGUCUGCAUGGAGCCGACCUUGAAAUACCACCCUUUAAUGUUUGAUGUUCUAACGUGGACCCGUGAUCCGGGUUGCGGACAGUGUCUGGUGGGUAGUUUGACUGGGGCGGUCUCCUCCUAAAGAGUAACGGAGGAGCACGAAGGUUGGCUAAUCCUGGUCGGACAUCAGGAGGUUAGUGCAAUGGCAUAAGCCAGCUUGACUGCGAGCGUGACGGCGCGAGCAGGUGCGAAAGCAGGUCAUAGUGAUCCGGUGGUUCUGAAUGGAAGGGCCAUCGCUCAACGGAUAAAAGGUACUCCGGGGAUAACAGGCUGAUACCGCCCAAGAGUUCAUAUCGACGGCGGUGUUUGGCACCUCGAUGUCGGCUCAUCACAUCCUGGGGCUGAAGUAGGUCCCAAGGGUAUGGCUGUUCGCCAUUUAAAGUGGUACGCGAGCUGGGUUUAGAACGUCGUGAGACAGUUCGGUCCCUAUCUGCCGUGGGCGCUGGAGAACUGAGGGGGGCUGCUCCUAGUACGAGAGGACCGGAGUGGACGCAUCACUGGUGUUCGGGUUGUCAUGCCAAUGGCACUGCCCGGUAGCUAAAUGCGGAAGAGAUAAGUGCUGAAAGCAUCUAAGCACGAAACUUGCCCCGAGAUGAGUUCUCCCUGACCCUUUAAGGGUCCUGAAGGAACGUUGAAGACGACGACGUUGAUAGGCCGGGUGUGUAAGCGCAGCGAUGCGUUGAGCUAACCGGUACUAAUGAACCGUGAGGCUUAACCUUACAACGCCGAAG